UCAAGUUAGUAAGGGCGUACGGUGGAUGCCUAGGCGCCAGGAGCCGAAGAAGGACGUAGAAAGCUGCGAAAAGCCACGGUGAGCCGCAAGCAGGCGUAGACCCGUGGGUGUCCGAAUGGGGGAACCCGGCGGGGUUAAUACCCCGUCACCCUGUGCUGAACCCAUAGGCACAGAGGAGGCAACCCGGGGAACUGAAACAUCUAAGUACCCGGAGGAAAAGAAAACAACAGUGAUUCCGUAAGUAGCGGCGAGCGAACGCGGAGGAGCCCAAACCCUCCUGGAGGUUAGAGGUUAGAAGUUAGAGGUUAGAUUAAGAAGGAAUUGGCGGAAGCGAAUUCCAACACAAUCCAACUUCCAACAUCUAAUUUCCAACCUCUAGGAGGGGGUAGCGGGACUCUCGUUAAGGCUAAGGAACCUAGCCGAACCGUCUGGAAAGGCGGAGCACAGAAGGUGACACUCCUGUAGGCGAAAGGGGAAAUAGCUGAGAGAGGAUCCCAAGUACCACGGGACACGGGGAAUCCCGUGGGAAUCAGGGAGGACCACCUCCUAAGGCUAAAUACUCCCUGGCGACCGAUAGUGAACAAGUACCGUGAGGGAAAGGUGAAAAGCACCCCGGGAGGGGAGUGAAAGAGAACCUGAAACCGUAUGCUUACAAGCAGUCGGAGCGCCAUAAGAGCGUGACGGCGUGCCUUUUGUAGAAUGAACCGGCGAGUUACGGUAGCUAGCGAGGUUAAGUACUUAAGGUACGGAGCCGCAGGGAAACCGAGUCUGAAAAGGGCGUUAAGUUAGUUGCCGUAGACCCGAAACCGGGUGAUCUACCCAUGUCCAGGGUGAAGCUAAGGUAAGACUUGGUGGAGGCCCGAACCGACCGACGUUGAAAAGUCGGCGGAUGAGGUGUGGGUAGGGGUGAAAUGCCAAUCGAACUCGGAGAUAGCUGGUUCUCCCCGAAAUAGCUUUAGGGCUAGCCUUAAGGGAUGGUUUAUGGAGGUAGAGCACUGAAUGGGCUAGGGGCCCUACCAGGUUACCGAACCCUAUCAAACUCCGAAUGCCAUAAACUUACCUUAGGAGUCAGACUACGAGUGCUAAGAUCCGUAGUCGAGAGGGAAACAGCCCAGACCGUCAGCUAAGGUCCCAAAGUCCGUGCUAAGUGGAAAAGGAUGUGGGAUUGCACAGACAACCAGGAUGUUGGCUUAGAAGCAGCCAUCAUUUAAAGAGUGCGUAAUAGCUCACUGGUCGAGUGGCCCUGCGCCGAAAAUGAACCGGGGCUAAGCACGGCACCGAAGCUACGGCUUACUGGAGGUUAGAUGUUAGAGGUUAGAAGUUGGAACCGAGGUGAGUGGAGAUGAUACAAAGCUAUCGAGACCUUGAAAUAUAUAAGAGGUCAUACGAGUUAGCAUUAGAUGUACAUCGACUAACAUUCACCUUGCCAGAAACAGAAAAGUAUGAGUUAAGCAGUCAGAUUAGGAGGGCAGCAGUGUCCAUACCGUUAAAUAUAGCGGAGGGAUACGGGCGCAAAGACUCAAAAGCAGAAUUCAAGCACUUUUUAAGAAAUGCAUUGGGGUCAUGCAAUGAGAUGCGAGUUCUAAUCGACAUGUGUAAGGACUUAGGAUAUUUUGAAGAAAAAGUAUAUCUAAGUUUAGCUGAAGAGUACGAAGUACUUGGUAAGCAAAUAAAUAAACUCAUACGGACCUGGAAAUAGUCCAACAUCCAACUUCCAACAUCUAACCUCCAGUAGGGGUAGGGGAGCGUUCUGUACACGUCGAAGGUAUACCGUGAGGAGUGCUGGAGAGUACAGAAGAGAGAAUGCCGGUAUGAGUAAGCGAGAAGGCAGGUGAGAAUCCUGCCCGCCGGAAGCCUAAGGAUUCCUGGGGAAGGCUCGUCCGCCCAGGGUAAGCCGGGACCUAAGCCGAGGCCUAAGGGCGUAGGUGAUGGGAAAUCGGUUGAGAAUCCGAUGCCACCCACAGCCGUUUGAGGAAGGGAUGACACAGGAGGGUAGGCUAAGCCAGCGGAUGGAAGAGCUGGUCCAAGCGAGUAGGGCGUGUGGUAGGCAAAUCCGCCACACAUAGAGCCUGAGACGUGAAGGGGAACGAAAUUAGAGUAGUGAAGUAGCUGAUCCCACACUGUCGAGAAAAGUCUCUAACGAGGCGAGUGGGUGCCCGUACCGCAAACCGACACAGGUAGGUAGGGAGAGAAUCCUAAGGCGCGCGAGAGAACCCUUGUUAAGGAACUCGGCAAAAUGACCCCGUAACUUCGGGAGAAGGGGUACCUCAGUAUUGUGAAGGUAGAGCAACCGGAGCAAGAAGAGGUCGCAGAGGAGAGGCCCAAGCGACUGUUUACCAAAAACACAGGUGCCUGCUAAGUGGAAACACGACGUAUAGGUGCUGACGCCUGCCCGGUGCUGGAAGGUUAAGAGGAGGGGUUAGCCUGAGAGGGCGAAGCUCUGAAUUGAAGCCCCAGUAAACGGCGGCCGUAACUAUAACGGUCCUAAGGUAGCGAAAUUCCUUGUCGGGUAAGUUCCGACCCGCACGAAAGGCGUAACGAUUUGGGCACUGUCUCAACAAGGGGCUCGGUGAAAUUGUAAUACCCGUGAAGAUGCGGGUUACCUGCGACAGGACAGAAAGACCCCGUGGAGCUUUACUGUAGCCUGACAUUGGAUUUUGGUACGUCAUGUACAGGAUAGGUGGGAGACAGAGAGGCAUGGACGCCAGUCUGUGCGGAGUCGUCGGUGGGAUACCACCCUUGAGGUAUUGAAGUUCUAACCCACGUCCGUAAGCCGGAUGGGGGACAGUGUCAGGUGGGCAGUUUGACUGGGGCGGUCGCCUCCCAAAGAGUAACGGAGGCGCCCAAAGGUUCCCUCAGACUGGUUGGAAAUCAGUCGUAGAGUGUAAAGGCAGAAGGGAGCUUGACUGCGAGACCGACGGGUCGAGCAGGGACGAAAGUCGGGCUUAGUGAUCCGGUGGUUCCGAGUGGAAGGGCCAUCGCUCAACGGAUAAAAGCUACCCCGGGGAUAACAGGCUUAUCUCCCCCAAGAGUCCACAUCGACGGGGAGGUUUGGCACCUCGAUGUCGGCUUAUCGCAUCCUGGGGCUGAAGUAGGUCCCAAGGGUUGGGCUGUUCGCCCAUUAAAGCGGUACAUGAGCUGGGUUCAGAACGUCGUGAGACAGUUCGGUCCCUAUCCGUCGCAGGCGCAGGAAACUUGAGAGGAGCUGUCCCUAGUACGAGAGGACCGGGAUGGACAGACCGCUGGUGCACCAGUUGUCUCGCCAGAGGCACAGCUGGGUAGCUAUGUCUGGAGCGGAUAAGCGCUGAAAGCAUCUAAGCGCGAAACCGACCUCAAGAUAAGGUUUCCCAUGGAGUUAAUCCAGUAAGACCCCUGGCAGACUACCAGGUAGAUAGGCCGGGAGUGUAAGUACAGUAAUGUAUUGAGCUAACCGGUACUAAUAGGUCGAGGACUUGACC
rnacentral:rRNA from 1 species